rnacentral:rRNA from 1 species
GUGCCAGCCGCCGCGGUAAUACGUAGGGUGCGAGCGUUGUCCGGAUUUAUUGGGCGUAAAGGGCUCGUAGGUGGUUGAUCGCGCCGGAAGUGUAAUCUUGGGGCUUAACCCUGAGCGUGCUUUCGAUACGGGUUGACUUGAGGAAGGUAGGGGAGAAUGGAAUUCCUGGUGGAGCGGUGGAAUGCGCAGAUAUCAGGAGGAACACCAGUGGCGAAGGCGGUUCUCUGGGCCUUUCCUGACGCUGAGGAGCGAAAGCUUGGGGGAGCGAACAGGCUUAGAUACCCUGGUAGUCCACGCUGUAAACGGUGGGUACUAGGUGUGGGGUCCAUUCCACGGGUUCCGUGCCGUAGCUAGCGCUUUAAGUACCCCGCCUGGGGAGUACGGCCGCAAGGCUAAAAACUCAAAGGAAUUGACGGGGCCCGCACAAGCGGCGGAGCAUGCGGAUUAAUUCGAUGCAACGCGUAGAACCUUACCUGGGUUUGACAUGGAUCGGGAGUGCUCAGAGAUGGUGUGCCUCUUUUGGGUCGGUUCACAGGUGGUGCAUGGCUGUCGUCAGCUCGUGUCGUGAGAUGUUGGGUUAAGUCCCGCAACGAGCGCAACCCUUGUUCACUGUUGCCAGCACGUUAUGGUGGGGACUCAGUGGAGACCGCCGGGGUCAACUCGGAGGAAGGUGGGGAUGACGUCAAGUCAUCAUGCCCCUUAUGUCCAGGGCUUCACGCAUGCUACAAUGGCUGGUACAGAGAGUGGCGAGCCUGUGAGGGUGAGCGAAUCUCGGAAAGCCGGUCUCAGUUCGGAUUGGGGUCUGCAACUCGACCUCAUGAAGUCGGAGUCGCUAGUAAUCGCAGAUCAGCAACGCUGCGGUGAAUACGUUCCCGGGGCUUGCACUCACCGCCCGUC